AUUGAACGCUGGCGGCAUGCCUUACACAUGCAAGUCGAACGGCAGCACGGGAGCAAUCCUGGUGGCGAGUGGCGAACGGGUGAGUAAAGUAUCGGAACGUGCCCAGUCGUGGGGGAUAACGUAGCGAAAGUUACGCUAAUACCGCAUACGAUCUAUGGAUGAAAGCGGGGGAUCGCAAGACCUCGCGCGAUUGGAGCGGCCGAUAUCAGAUUAGGUAGUUGGUGGGGUAAAGGCUCACCAAGCCGACGAUCUGUAGCUGGUCUGAGAGGACGACCAGCCACACUGGGACUGGGACACGGCCCAGACUCCUACGGGAGGCGGCAGUGGGGAAUUUUGGACAAUGGGCGAAAGCCUGAUCCAGCCAUGCCGCGUGCAGGAUGUAGGCCUUCGGGUUGUAAACUGCUUUUGUACGGAACGAAAAGGUUUGGCCUAAUAAGCUGAGCUCAUGACGGUACCGUAAGAAUAAGCACCGGCUAACUACGUGCCAGCCGCCGCCGUAA
rnacentral:rRNA from 1 species